rnacentral:rRNA from 1 species
GAUGAACGCUGGCGGCGUGCCUAAUACAUGCAAGUCGAGCGAACGGACGAGAAGCUUGCUUCUCUGAUGUUAGCGGCGGACGGGGGAGUAACACGUGGAUAACCUACCUAUAAUACUGGGAUAACUUCGGGAAACCGGAGCUAAUACCGGAUAAUAUUUUGAACCGCAUGGUUCAAAAGUGAAAGACGGUCUUGCUGUCACUUAUAGAUGGAUCCGCGCUGCAUUAGCUAGUUGGUAAGGUAACGGCUUACCAAGGCAACGAUGCAUAGCCGACCUGAGAGGGUGAUCGGCCACACUGGAACUGAGACACGGUCCAGACUCCUACGGGAGGCAGCAGUAGGGAAUCUUCCGCAAUGGGCGAAAGCCUGACGGAGCAACGCCGCGUGAGUGAUGAAGGUCUUCGGAUCGUAAAACUCUGUUAUUAGGGAAGAACAUAUGUGUAAGUAACUGUGCACAUCUUGACGGUACCUAAUCAGAAAGCCACGGCUAACUACGUG